rnacentral:rRNA from 1 species
CUUUACUAUAACUUGGCAUUGGGUUCGGGCUUCUCUUGCGCAGGAUAGGUGGGAGACUAUGAUGAUGUCCUUGUGGGGACAUCGGAGUCAACGGUGAGAUACCACUCUAUCAAGGCUAGAAUUCUAACGUUGACCCGUUAUCCGGGCAGCGGACAGUAUCAGGUGGGCAGUUUGACUGGGGCGGUCGCCUCCUAAAUGGUAACGGAGGCGCGCAAAGGUUCCCUCAGGCUGGUUGGAAAUCAGCCAACGAGUGUAAAAGCAUAAGGGAGCUUGACUGCAAGACCAACAAGUCAAGCAGGGACGAAAGUCGGCUUUAGUGAUCCGACGGCACAGCGUGGAAUGGCCGUCGCUCAACGGAUAAAAGUUA